GGAGUUAGCGACAGGGAGGGAUGCGCGCCUGGGUGUAGUUGUGGGGGAGGAAGUGGCUAGCUCAGGGCUUCAGGGGACAGACAGGGAGAGAUGACUGAGUUAGAUGAGACGAGGGGGCGGGCUGGGGGUGCGAGAAGGAAGCUUGGCAAGGAGACUAGGUCUAGGGGGACCACAGUGGGGCAGGCUGCAUGGAAAAUAUCCGCAGGGUCCCCCAGGCAGAACAGCCACGCUCCAGGCCAGGCUGUCCCUACUGCCUGGUGGAGGGGGAACUUGACCUCUGGGAGGGCGCCGCUCUUGCAUAGCUGAGCGAGCCCGGGUGCGCUGGUCUGUGUGGAAGGAGGAAGGCAGGGAGAGGUAGAAGGGGUGGAGGAGUCAGGAGGAAUAGGCCGCAGCAGCCCUGGAAAUGAUCAGGAAGGCAGGCAGUGGGUGCAGGGCUGCAGGAGGGCCGGGAGGGCUAAUCUUCAACUUGUCCAUGCCAGCAGCCCCUUUUUUUCCAGACCAAGGGCUGUGAACCCGCCUGGGGAUGAGGCCUGGUCUUGUGGAACUGAACUUAGCUCGACGGGGCUGACCGCUCUGGCCCAGGGUGGUAUGUAAUUUUCGCUCGGCCUGGGACGGGGCCCAGGCCGGGCCCAGCCUGGUGGAGCGUCCAGGUCUGGGUGCGAAGCCAGGCCCCUGGGCGGAGGUGAGGGGUGGUCUGAGGAGUGAUGUGGAGUUAAGGCGCCAUCCUCACCGGUGACUGGUGCGGCACCUAGCAUGUUUGACAGGCGGGGACUGCGAGGCACGCUGCUCGGGUGUUGGGGACAACAUUGACCAACGCUUUAUUUUCCAGGUGGCAGUGCUCCUUUUGGACUUUUCUCUAGGUUUGGCGCUAAACUCUUCUUGUGAGCUCACUCCACCCCUUCUUCCUCCCUUUAACUUAUCCAUUCACUUAAAACAUUACCUGGUCAUCUGGUAAGCCCGGGACAGUAAGCCGAGUGGCUGUUGGAGUCGGUAUUGUUGUGUUCCUCAUGGCGAGCAGAUGGAACCGGGAGACAUGGAGUCCCUGGCCAGUGUGAGUCCUAGCAUUGCAGGAGGGGAGACCCUGGAGGAGAGAGCCCGCCUCAAUUGAUGCCUGCAGAUUGAAUUUCCAGAGGCUUAGGAGGAGGAAGUUCUCCAAUGUUCUGUUUCCAGGCCUUGCUCAGGAAGCCCUGUAUUCAGGAGGCUACCAUUUAAAGUUUGCAGAUGAGCUUAUGGGGGGCAAUCUUAAAAAGUCCACAGCAGAUGCAUCCGGCUCGAGGGGCCAUCAGCUUUGAAUAAAUGCUUGUUCCAGAGCCCAUGAAUGCCAGCAGGCACCCCUCCUUUCCUGGGGUAAAGGUUUUCAGAUGCUGCAUCUUCUAAAUUGAGCCUCCGGUCAUACUAGUUUUGUGCUUGGAACCUUGCUUCAAGAAGAUCCCUAAGCUGUAGAACAUUUUAACGUUGAUGCCACAACGCAGAUUGAUGCCUUGUAGAUGGAGCUUGCAGAUGGAGCCCCGUGACCUCUCACCUACCCACCUGUUUGCCUGCCUUCUUGUGCGUUUCUCGGAGAAGUUCUUAGCCUGAUGAAAUAACUUGGGGCGUUGAAGAGCUGUUUAAUUUUAAAUGCCUUAGACUGGGGAUAUAUUAGAGGAAGCAGAUUGUCAAAUUAAGGGUGUCAUUGUGUUGUGCUAAACGCUGGGAGGGUACAAGUUGGUCAUUCCUAAAUCUGUGUGUGAGAAAUGGCAGGUCUAGUUUGGGCAUUGUGAUUGCAUUGCAGAUUACUAGGAGAAGGGAAUGGUGGGUACACCGGUAGUGCUCUUUUGUUCUUGCUUCGUUUUUUUAAACUUGAACUUUACUUCGUUAGAUUUCAUAAUACUUUCUUGGCAUUCUAGUAAGAGGACCCUGAGGUGGGAGUUGUGGGGGACGGGGAGAAGGGGACAGCUUGGCACCGGUCCCGU
rnacentral:lncRNA from 1 species